UGCAGAGGAACCUGCUGCUCAUUUGUAGCGUGAAACCACGCAGCUCCUCCUCUGGCUGCCACUGUGCUCCUGCUUAUAGGGCAGCUACUCAGCUCAUCUGUGUUUACCCUAAAGAUGGGGGGCAGGCCUAACCUUUCUGUACACCCAGCGUGAAGUGGCUUACCCCUCCGUGAAACUCAGGUGAGCUGCUUCUCUGCCGACUGCAAACUGGGAGCAUCUUCACGGGGAACUUUUCCGCUGAAAUCAAAGUGAAACUUCACCCUGGGCUUUCUUAUUGCUGCCUCCUGAGUCACCACAUCCUUCUCUUGUCACCACCACCUUUCUGUUUAGAAAGUGAUAAUGAGACGCAGUGUUCAGCAGUGAGAACUGGGUCUGUGUGCGAGGAAUGAAUUUACAGAGGGGUUAAAAUUCGCUCUUUGAAAGCAGAGAGCACCAAAAGGUCCACCUGGGGAGUCAGUUGUUGGCGUGCUGCAGUUUUACAGUGCUUCCCUACAUUUCUUGUGGAGACAAGCCCCAAGGAAUCUGAAGACUUGGCUUAUUUUCCUGAUCCUGCAACAGAUCCUGCCUUGCCCGGCUAUGGGGCUUAGCAGCAGGGCAAAGAAGAGGAGCUGGGAAGAGAAGGAGGAGAGGCCAGGCUUCUCCAGGUGGAGAGCCUUGCUGUUUCCCACCCCGUGUCUCUUUGUCUCUCACUCUACUAUCUCCUGGAGUUGGCAACAAGUUAAUGUGACUCGGGAGCCAGAAGGUGAGGGGGUUGCUGUGGAUGAAGGCCUACAUUGUGUCCUUCUGAACCCAAGGCUAUUCCCCUCCCCCUUUCCAUUCUUUGGGUUACUCAGCAGAGCUGCUCCGAUUCACAUAAGCUAACAAUCUGUUGAGAAGAAGCAGUUAGGGCCGUAGAAGUUGUUGACAUCCUAUUUUCUUUUUUUUCUUUUUCUUCUUCUUUUUCUUUUUCUUUUUCUUUUUCUUUUUCUUUUUCUUUUUCUUUUUCUUUUUCUUUUUCUUUUUCUUUUUCUUUUUCUCUUUCUUUUUCUUUUUCUUCUUUUCUUUUUCUUUUUCCAGUGGCAUAACCGGUACUCCAGCUUAGCUCAUCCUUUUGUGCUCUCCAUCCCUUGCGUUGAAUCCAUGAGGAUGCAUGAGGGUAGAACUUCAGAUCCCCCCCCAUCCCCCCAACCAGCUGGGACCAGCAGCUAAAGACAUUCAGCAUUUCUCACAGUCCACAGCGUAGCUUUUGAGCUGGCUGGUAAUUGGAAACACUGUGCACUCCACUGCUCGGUCUCGCAGGCUCCCUGGCCAGCUGUGGGCUGCUCACCACCACCGCUGAGCCCGCAGUGCAGGGACGAGCUGCAGCGCCUGGUGAGGAUGGGCUGUGGUUGCGGGAGGCCAUCAGGUCGGCUUGCGUGUCUUUUUCCAGGAAGUCGAGUGCAUACUCCCUGCUUCUUCUUUUUUUUUUUUUCAUGAUCUUCAAGAGUUCAGCUCAAAGCAGCUGCAGAAAAAAAGCAUCCUGCUGCAGAAGAGCCAAUGGCCCUGGGAACAGACUGCUUUUAUAAAAAGCCUUACGAGAGCCAGAUGCCCCCUACCCUGACAAAGACUGAUCAGGUGGCUGCUGGUAUCGCCUUUCACUGCUCUUUGGCAAGGGUGGAAACACAGAAUGAUGGGUGCCAUGGAUUUAUGCUUUGUGAGAGGUCAGGUCAGAUCAUCAGCAUGGAAAAUAAAUCCAUUGGAUGUAUCUCCCGGGGGGUGCAGGAGGCUGUGCUGCAAGUCUCUUGGCACGGGGCAGUCCCCCAGCACUUCCCCACCCGAGCGGCCGCAGCAGGUGAUCCGCGGAGGAAGAGGAGGAUGAAGCCCGGCGUGCGAGCCAGCCCCGCCGGCUGCCGAGUGCCACCAGAGGGUGCUGCGCCGUACCGCCGGCCGGCAGGGACGGAUGGGAACGGGAGGGAUGCGAGAGGGACGCGGGAGGCUGCGGCCCCAGCCAGCUCCCUGCCUGCCAGCUCCUGCUGUGGUUGCCAGGCUGCUCGGUUUGGUUGCCCCGCAGCUAGCUAGUUCCGUCUGAUGGACCUCAGCUCCCUCUGGAGAAAACAAACGUUUGUGGCCGUGUUGAUGUGCAAGGAGGAAAACAUCGACACCGCAGAUAACGUGGUUGGUACGUCUCGAGACAGCGUAUGUAGAAGACAGCAUUUAAAAGGGUUGGUUUAUUAACUUGGCGCUCCCGUGCCGUAACCAGCCGCCCUUUAGGGAGACAGAAUUAGCCUCUCUUUAGCAGAAGGCAUCACAUCCCUCUGCUUAUGUCCCGUGCCGCUGCUCCCCCCAGCAGCCGCACUCCUCGGUGCCUGCUGUCCCACACGUCCGGGGCUGCUGUACAGAGCGCUCCUUAUACAGACGUCUCUUGGCAUGGAGGCUCUCCCCGGGAGCACGACUGUAGGUUGAAAUUCUGCCUUCUUGGAAUAAGCAAAUGCCAGGGGUUUAUUUCCUAUUAAGCUAGCAGAUAGUUUGUGCAUUUAGCCGCAGUUUGCUGUCUCCAACCAGAUACGGGUGGAUCCUUCUUGUUUUCCUUCCUCUUUAUAUUUCCAGCCUGGGAAACAGCAAAAAGUUUGUGCAAAAGCAACAUCUGUGGGAGAGAGAGAGAGAAAAGGAUGAGGCAGGCUGGCCCGGCAGCCAGCCUCAGGAGAUGGUAAGACAGAAGAGCUAUUCAUUGUGAGAGGCAGUUGCUCCUCACCCUGCUAGACUAUAAAUUGGACACCUUAUUAAGAGCUGAUCCUCCAACAGCCCCACCCCGGGCUGUGCUCACGCUCCGGACUAGAGGAACGCAAUCCCGUUUCGCUCUGGGUGCCCGCUGUGGGGUGAGCACAUGUGUGAGCAGGACAGAGGACACGAGGCAGAAGGAAGCAGCACACUUUUUGAUUUGUGGGUCGUCAGCUUAGGAAAACAAGGCAAACUUUUGGGAGGCAGCAGGGAGGAGGUUGGAUGGCAGCGAAGUUUGGGCUCUCACCCUAUGAUGCGCUGGUUGCCUUAGCAAAUAAUGGAAGCAGUAUUACAUUUUUUUCCUUUUUUUUUUAAACUUGUUUUCUCAGUUGUAACUUAAAAAUGCUGACUCACUGGCACUGUGUGCCAACACAAAUGUUGCUGCGGAAAUCAAUCAUCAUGAGAGCCUGGCGAGAUAUAACCCCACAGUGGCGCAGGCUUUGAAUGGGCCUCUUUGGUCAUUCCAAGUUUCUUCUUCAGACAAUUCGCCCGGAAACUUCCUUCUUGUCAGGUGAGCCCAAAGGUCUGAGCAGACUCACGCAGAUGUCACGUUGAAUGGUUGCUGUGGUGAAAAAUUCACAGGAAUGUGAGGUUAACAAAUUCAUCAGUUGUAUCAUCCUUGGCAAGACUUCUGAGCUUUCCAGCCUUUGCGCACCUUUAACCAUUUGAAAGGUUCUUGGGCUUGCAUUUGAAGUGCACAAGCUAUUGCCAGCUGCUGUCAGAAAUAAACAUCUUUAUGUAUUCUUCGGAGCUUGUUUUUGUGCUGAAGAAAGCAGGAUGGAUCACAGGCCUUUUGUACUGUUCUGAACAUUAUUCCUGCUCAGACGUUCAUGUUUUUCCUUCCACGUGAAACCGAUUGGAGGAGUCAUGCAACACUAGAUGUGUUGGGAGGAGUCUGCAUUUUCAGAGCAUCUGCUCGUUGAUUUCUCUGCUGAGGUUCCUCUGUUUUAUUUUCCUUGGCAGGCCAUUUAAACAUAGUUAGAUAUAUUGCAACUGAGCGGUGGUCAGGUAAUUCAAAGUAACAUGGAAAUGUGACCUUCAUACAUGCCUCCCCGCUUCUCGGGUAGCACUAAGAUACAGGUGCAUUUCAAUAGCAUCUCCUAGAAUUGCUGACUUCAGUUGCAUCUCAUAUAAUUGAAAAACAGCCUUUGUAUUUCCUUUAGGAGGAAAUACAUUUUUUUUCAGAUCUGAAAAAUCUAGGAUAUUGCUGUGGCUCAUUUGAAAAUGGCCGCGUGAUUCUCUAGGUUGUGAUUGCCUGACUGUCGCUGGUGUAUUGGAAGGCAUUGGCUGACAAGAUGUUCCUGGAUACCUUAAUUUGUGUGCCUCAGAUGACUUUACAUGCUUAUAAAAAUGAGCACAAAGCAUCUUCAGCGUUUCUCUCACUUUUCUUCUCCUACAUUCUACUUGAGGGACUUCUUAGUUUUGCCAAUGAUUUUGUUUCCCAAUAAAACAGCGUGUCUGAAUUCAUGCUCUGUGUAUAAGUCCGUGUAUGUGAUUCCACUGUGCCCUAACCUCUCCAAAAGUGUGGGCCUGCUGGUUGGUUUUGGCUGAAUUUGGCAAAAUAAUUGAGAUUUCAAACUGAAGUUCCAAAAUGUUUUAAAAAGAAGGGCUAGGUAGGCACAGGAGAGGGCUUUUUUUGUGCUAGAGACAUCCUGGUGCUGUCAGCUCAGAUCACCUUUUACCACGUACCAGUGAAGCUGCCAUGGAAUGGGCCCUUGGAAAUCAGUCUUCAACACAUCUGUCAGAUGUGGAUUAGUUGUUAGUACUGGUUGUUUUGGUACAGUUAGAAUAGAGGAGGGGAGGCUGGGUUGAAAACCCGGAGUUUUCUCUUUUGUUCUAGACUUUUGAGAUUUAUGGUUUUUCCCUGCAAGUAGUCCGGAUUUUGCAGUUGUGACCUAAGCACUAGAGAAUCUGUCCCUAGCGCACCUAUCCUUCAAACUGGGUAUUUAUUGUGUCACAGGGCAGUAUGACUGCCAGAUUUCAACAUAGCUGUGGCUGUCUUUGCACCAAUUUUUGCUAAGGUGUUGAAAGCUUUGAAAAUAAGGCCUUUGGGACUAAGCGGUGAGCGGAGCAAAGAUCAGAGUUUGAACUUGCUUGGAGGUCUUGUGUUGCUGAAUAAACGGACCGACAUUUUUGUAUGGGGCAUCAUUUCUAAACCCAUCGUGUCUGUAGAAAUCAAGCAUAAGGAGCAAGUUCAAUCUAGUAGGUCGUCUGAUCAGAAAUAGCUGUGAAGAACAGAGGUAUUUGCAGCAACAGCUCUUGGGAUUUCUAGAAGGAAUGAGUUCGGAUAAAUAUUAAAUCUCCAUUUUGUCUUAAUGCCAGUGAUGGAGAAUGAAUGACAUUAUGGAAAUGUGAAAUGCUUUCCUCUACCAUCUUGAGCCCAGGCUCUUGCAACAAUUCAGCUUCUGCCAACUUCUCUUCAUUCAUUUGCUGAUCUCAGCCAAGCCCUUGUAGAGCUGGGUAACGGUGUUAUUUGCAUGGGAGGUGAAGAUGAUGUAGAGAUGGGUGUCAUAUGUGUACUGCUGACAAGUCAGUCCAUGGUGCCACUGAAUAUUCUCUACAGGCUUUAUAUAGAUAUUGAACAGGCUGGGUGAGGGGAAAGAAUUUCAUGUUAUUCAGCAGGUGGGAAAGGUUUUGGAGGUUAAGGAAAGAGCAAGUGUUUAUCAUAAAUCUCUUGAGCUUACUGGAGAUUGAUGUAAGGGAUGUCUGAAGAUGUAUCAGCUCAGUUCCAAAGGGCUCUGGACAGACAUUUAUUUUCAAACAGCUGAGCUGGCUGGAGAUCUUACAGCCAUUCCAGAUGCUUGCUACCAACCCUCUGCUGAUGGUUGCCAUACCUGUUGCUCUGCUGUUAGAAAAGUCCUGGCGAAAUCAGCUGGAUUUUGUGAUGUGUUUUGGCUCCGGCAGAGCAGGAUCCUAGCAGCGUUUCUUCCAAUGGCUUGAGAAGAGCAGGAGUGGAGGAGCUCCCCAUGCGGAGGGUUUUGUUCCAGGAGAAGAGUCCUUCUGGCCUAUGAAGAGGAGCGAUUCAACGUGCCUUCCGCUCGGGGGGUAGGAGGGGAAGGAGGGAGAGGGACGAGGACACUUCCUUCGCAGCGCUUUGUCAAGGCUUCUGGCCAAGAAUGUCCAGCCCAUCGAGCAUGAGUGUGUUUGAGCUUGUGGUUUGCUGUUCGCCCAGUAAGUGGACAUGAUCUGACCACAGAGAUCUCAGUGGUUUUUGCACUGAAGUAAGUAUCUGCUAUCUGGGAUCUACAUAGGGGAUCCAUAAUGCUCUCUUUGAGACAGGGAAGGUUCUUACAGAGAAGACUUUGAAUUAGGAGUCUUUUGUGAACUGCAAGAUUUACUAUCAGGAUUCAUAUACCUUAACUGUAUUACUGCAAAUUUGGUUAAAGUGUCAAAUUAUCCUCCUUCUUAUCUUUGAGGAAAUGCGGUGUGCUCCUGCCCUGAUGACUCUGAAAGCAAACCCCGCACUGCUGUGGUACAUGUGAAUU
ensembl:lncRNA